rnacentral:rRNA from 1 species
AGAGUUUGAUCCUGGCUCAGAWYGAACGCUAGCGGCAGGCUUAACACAUGCAAGUCGAGGGGCAGCGCGGUGUAGCAAUACACUGGCGGCGACCGGCGGAAGGGUGCGUAACGCGUGAGCGACAUGCCCGUGACAGGGGGAUAACAGAUGGAAACGUCUCCUAAUACCCCAUAGGAUCGCGUGCUACAUGGCACAGGAUUGAAAGGUGAGAACCGGUCACGGAUUGGCUCGCGUCCCAUCAGGUAGACGGCGGGGCAGCGGCCCGCCGUGCCGACGACGGGUAGGGGCUCUGAGAGGAGUGACCCCCACAAUGGAACUGAGACACGGUCCAUACUCCUACGGGAGGCAGCAGUGAGGAAUAUUGGUCAAUGGGCGGAAGCCUGAACCAGCCAUGCCGCGUGCGGGAGGACGGCCCUACGGGUUGUAAACCGCUUUUGAGUGCGAGCAAUAAGGUUCACGCGUGGACCGAUGAGAGUAGCAUUCGAAUAAGCAUCGGCUAACUCCGUGCCAGCAGCCGCGGUAAUACGGAGGAUGCGAGCGUUAUCCGGAUUCAUUGGGUUUAAAGGGUGCGUAGGCGGACUCGUAAGUCCGAGGUGAAAGACCGGGGCCCAACCCCGGGGUUGCCUCGGAUACUGCGGAUCUGGAGUGGACGUGCCGCCGGGGGAAUGAGUGGUGUAGCGGUGAAAUGCAUAGAUAUCACUCAGAACACCGAUUGCGAAGGCACCUGGCGAAUGUCUUACUGACGCUGAGGCACGAAAGCGUGGGGAUCGAACAGGAUUAGAUACCCUGGUAGUCCACGCAGUAAACGAUGAUGGCUGUCCGUUCGUCCCUGUAGGGAUGAGUAGACAAGCGAAAGCGCUAAGCCAUCCACCUGGGGAGUACGGCCGCAAGGCUGAAACUCAAAGGAAUUGACGGGGGCCCGCACAAGCGGAGGAACAUGUGGUUUAAUUCGAUGAUACGCGAGGAACCUUACCCGGGCUCGAACGGCAGAGGAAGGAUGCGGAGACGCAAACGCCCUUCGGGGCUUCUGUCGAGGUGCUGCAUGGUUGUCGUCAGCUCGUGCCGUGAGGUGUCGGCUCAAGUGCCAUAACGAGCGCAACCCUUGCCUGCAGUUGCCAUCGGGUUAGGCCGGGGACUCUGCAGGGACUGCCACCGCAAGGUGAGAGGAGGGGGGGGGUGACGUCAAAUCAGCACGGCCCUUACGUCCGGGGCGACACACGUGUUACAAUGGCGGUCACAGAGGGAAGCCACCCAGUGAUGGGGCGCGGAUCCCCAAAAAGCCGCCUCAGUUCGGAUCGGAGUCUGCAACCCGACUCCGUGAAGCUGGGUUCGCUAGUAAUCGCGCAUCAGCCAUGGCGCGGUGAAUACGUUCCCGGGCCUUGUACACACCGCCCGUCAAGCCAUGGGAGCCGCGGGCGCCUGAAGGCCGUGACCGCGAGGAGCGGCCUAGGGCGAAAGUGGUGACUGGGGCUAAGUCGUAACAAGGUAACC